CUAUUCUCCAAUUUUGCUCUUCAACCUUACACUUACGGGCCAGCAAGUUGAAAACGCAUAUUAACAUGUCAAUGAUGACUGAAGGUCUAUCAUCCUGAAGCAAGAGGAAGGAGGAACACAUCCGGCGGGAAAACUUGUAAAUUUGAUCUUUCAAGGAUGACUUCGCGUACUCGUUCAAUGAUGUCACACAAAAAGCAUGCACUAUAUCUCUGUCAAAAUUUUGUAGCUCCCCAA
rnacentral:misc_RNA from 1 species